rnacentral:antisense_RNA from 1 species
UGUUUCCCAUCUUACACUUUUUCAGAAUAGAUACUCCCUUGGUAGAAUCAUGGGCUGACACAAUCACAUUAUAAAAUUUUCUCUGGUUCUGUCUCUUCCCCUCUGGAACACACAUGGAUGAUUCUUAUUACUUAAUGCACACAUUAAAUAACUGUAUACACCAUGAACUGGAGGCCUUGUGUUUUGAGCGAAAAGCUCUGGAUUUGAGUUUGUGUUUCCAAACACACUUCUGAGGUAGAAAUUGUCAAGAGCUUUCCCAAACUCUUUUUUUAAUCCUCCUGAGCUCACCAUCUCUGGGACUCUCUUGCAAUUGGACAGCCAUGCAAUUGAGCUUCAGCCAAUGAAACAUGAAUAGAGGGCGUGACACACAACCUGCCAUGUUCAAGCCUCCAUACUCUUUCCCUCCUCCAGCUUCGUGCUGAUGAACAUGGUCACCUUGAAAGGUGUGUUGAAUACGGCAGAGCCAGAAAAUGCAAGGAGCUUCUUCUCUGGAUCACCACUUGAAGAAGAUCCACUUGCUACUCAGGAACCCUAUUUUGGACUGACGUUGCAAGAAAGCUCAAGUAGCCCAUGGAGAGGAUGCAAGGCUUCCAGCUGAUCCCCUCAGCCAGGCUCAGUAGCAGCCAGAACUAGCCUACUAACGAACCUGCUGAUUAUGUGCGUAAGCCACCUUGAACGUCGAUCCUCCUGCCUGGUGGAGCCAUCCCAGCUGAUGCCACAUGAAGCAGACACAAGCUGUCCCUACUAAGCUCUGCCCAAGUUGGAUAUUCAUGAGUGAAAUAAAUGACU